UGAAACAUUGCUGAGCCCAAAAUAUAAAAGAUUCUGCCAGUGCAUGAAAGUGAAACUGGCUGAGAGCAAAAGUGAAACCAACAGGCGACUUUCACUCCCCAGGCUGAGGGAAAUGCAGAAAAGUAAAUCCUAAACAGGGCAUGUGGCCCAGCCCCUGUUUUGGACAGAAAGAUGGCUGUCCAAGGAACAUGAACAUCAGUUCUCAGAUGGUGGUAUGUGAGCUGCAGACAGAAACUUGA
rnacentral:lncRNA from 1 species